GGCGCGAAGUGACGUCAACGCGCUAACGGUCGAAGCGGUGGCGGAUUGGGGGGGAGGGGAGAAGCGUCCUCCACUAAAAACAUCUGAGCGGUGGUGAUAGACACUGCGGCCUUCACUCUCCACCGGGAAUGAGGGAAUAAAGAGACCGCGGACGGAAGGAGGGGAAAUAAAAGGAUCAAGAGCAAGUACAAGCUGUGAAGAAUCACCGUACUUCACCCGGCACAGAGUGCAGAGUCUCGGAGGGAGAAGAGGAGGAGAGAGAUAGAUGCUUUCUGCCUACAGGCUCUGAAGGUUUCUUCUCGACUGCUGUUCCUGAAACAUUUGGCAUUUUAAUGUCCUGUAGUUCAGCCCAACCAGAGGGCUAUUGUCUGGUGAAAUUUCCUAAACUCAAAAGACCAUCAAGUGAUGCUCAGUCUCUGAAUUCUCCCUGUUAAUGCUUCAAAGCGCAACACUGUCAAUGCUUUUCCAUCAAGCUUUCAGACAUGAUGUGAGGCUUCUCUGGAACAGGUAGAACUUCAGCCCAGGCCUUCCAGCUCAGAGGUAGGGGCACAACCAGUGCACCAAAAGAGCCCAAAAUCAAAUUGUAUUGCCUGCUUGGUAAUAUUAUGACUUGAUUUCAAAGUGAAAAAUACCCCGUUUAUUCCAGAUGUAUCAGUCUAACUUACAAGUUGUUGUCCCAAAAAAGAAAAGAUCCCAUCUAUUACAAUUUGCAUUUUUUAAUUCAUUUUGGGGACCGAGGCAUUGCUGCCUGGGCCAAUAUUUAUUGCCUGACGUUAGUCGACCCUUAAACAGUCAUCCAUUUUGUGUCAGGGAGGGAAUUCCAAGAUUUUGAUGCAGCGACACUGAAUGAACAGUGAUACGGUAUGUUUCCAAGUCAGGAUGGUGAGCGGCUUGGAGGUUGGCGUUCCCAUGUGUGGGCUGCCCUUGUCCUUCCCGAUGGAAGCGGCCUUAGGGUUUGGAAGGUGCUGUCUGAGGAUCUUUGGUGAGUUUCUGCGGUGCAUCUUGUAGAUGGUAUACACUGCUGUUACUGAGCAUCGGUGGUAGAGGGAGCGGGUGAUUGUGAAUGUGGUGUCAAUCAAGCAAGCUGCUGUGUCCUAAAUAUUGUCAAGCUUCUCGAGUACUGUUGGAGCUGCCCCUAUCCACACAAGUGGGGAGUGUUCCCUCCCCCUCCUGCCUUGUGCCUUGUCGAUGGUGGGACAGGGCUUUGCGGAGUCAGGAGGUGAGUUACUCGCUGCACGAUUCCCAGCCUCUGACCUGCUGCUGUAGCCACUUUGUUUAUGUGGCUGGGUCUGCGUCAGUUUGUGGUCAGUGGUAACCCCCCCAGGAUGUUGAUGGGGUGCAGGGUGGUGGGAUUCAGUGGUGAUAACACCAUUGAAUGUCAUGUGGGCAAGGGUUAGAUUCUGAAUGGUAAACCCCAGGGUGUUGAUAGUUGGGGGGAUCCCAUUACCAUCCUCCUGCCUUGUCGAUGGUGGGACACGCUUUGGGGAGUUAGGAGGAUGGUAAUAUUGAAUGUGAAGACAAAGUGUUGUUGAAGAUGGUCAAUGAGUGAGAUUUGUGCAGUGACAGUGUCACUUGCUACUUCUCAGCCCAUGUCUGGAUAUUGUCCAGAUCUUGUAGCAUUUGAACAUGGAUUGCUUCAGUAUCCGAGGAAUCACAAAUGGAGCUGAACAUUGUGCAAUCAUUGUCGAAUAUCCCCACUUCUGACCUUAUGAUGGAAGGUAGGUCAUUGAUGAAGCAGCUGAAGAUGGCUGGGACUAGGAUACUACCGUCAGAAACUCCUGCAGAGAUGUCCUGGAGCUGAGAUGACUGACCUCCAACAACCACAACCAUCUUCCUAUGUGUCAGGUGUGACUCCAAACACCGGAGGGCUUGCCUCCAGAUUCCAUUUUUGCUGGGGCUCCUUGAUGCCACACAUGGUUGAAUACAGCGUUGAUGUUGAGGGCUGUCACUCUCGCCUCCCGUGUGGAAUUCAGCCCUUUUGUCCACGUUUGAACUAAUGUCAGGAGCUGAGUGGCCCUGGCAGAACCCAAACUAGGUGUCACUGAGCAGCUGCUGCUUCGUAACACCUUCCAUCACUUUCCUGACAAUCAGGAAUAGACUGAAGGGGCAGUAAUUGGCCGGGUUGGAUUUGCCCUGCUUUUCUGUGUACAAGACACAACUUGGAUGAUUUUCCACAUUGUCGGGUAGACACCAGUGUACUGGAAUGCCUUGGCUAGGGGAGCAGCAAGUUCUGGAACACAAGUCUUUGCCAGAAUAUUGUCAGGGCCCAUAGCUUUUGCAGUAUCUGGUGCCUCCAGCUGUUUCUUGAUAUCAUGUGGAGUGAGUCAAAUUGGCUGAAGACUGGUAUCUGUGAUGCUGGGGUCCACUGGAGGAGGCUGCGAUGGAUCAUCCACUCGGCACUUCUGGCUGAAGAUUGCUACAAAAAGUUUUGCCUUAUCUUUUGCACUGACGUUCUGGCUUGUCCAUCCUCGAGGAGGGGGCUAUUUGGGGAGCUUCCUCCUCCAGUGAGCUGUUUAAUUUCCACCACCAUUCCUAACUGGAUGUGGCUGGACUGCAGAGCUUAGAUCUGUGUACCACUUGGCACUUUUAGCUCAGCUCUGGAGUCCUGCCACAUCCAGUCAGGGAUGUCUCAUUUGGCCCUUAGGCAGCAGUUUGGCAACAGAUUUGUGAGACAAGUCAGAGCCCAUGGAGUAAAAGGGACAGUAGCAACAUGAAUAUAAACUGGUCUGAGGGAUAGGAAACAACAUGCAGUGGUCAGUGCGUCAUUCCUGGACUGGAUGGAACGUUUGAAGUGGAGGUCCCCAGUUGUUGGGACCAUUGCUUUUCCUGAUAUAUCACUGAUCUAUACCCUGGUGGGGACAGUUUUGAAGAUUGGAGAUGAUCCAAAGCAUUGUCAUUUGUUGAGGAGAACAGUGUAGUUCAAAAGUACAUCAGUGAGUUGGUGAAAUGGGCAAACAGGUGGCAGAUGAAGUUCAACACAGAGAACAGCGAGAUGACACAUUUUGGUCAAAAAACAGGAUGAGGUAAAGACUAAAGGAGAUGACAGCCGUUAAUAAAUCAUUCAGUACCCCUUGGCCUUAUUAUUAGAGGAGUAGAACACAACAGCAAGGCUGUGGUGAAGCUGAACAGGACACUGGUUAGACUUCAACUGGAAGACUGUGGACCAUUUUCAGAAAGGAUACAAACAACUGGAGAGGUUGCAGAAGAAAGUUUUGAGAAUUAUACAAAGAGGAAGCAUGAGAAAAUGUUAACGCAUAAGAUAGGCAUUUCAUAAGUAAAUUAGGGGCAAAGGGAUAAGCAGAGAACAGAGUGUGGCCCAUGAUGGACUUUAUUGGAUGGAGCCAAAAGACAUACAUUAAGUUUUAAAUGAGUAUUCAUGAUAGGGGAGAAAUGAGCAAGGGAGGGCGUGAAAUCUGAUAGAAACCUAUAGAAUUCCAACAAGACUAAACAGGGUCAGCGCAGAAGGAUGUUCCCGAUGACUGGGGUGGUUCGAGGUGGAGGGGUUGGGGCAUCCGGAACCAGGGGGUGACAGUCUAGAGGAGACUGGUGUAGGACUGAGAUGAGGAGAAAUGGCUUCACCCAGAGAGUGGGGGAGCCUGUGGGAUUCUCUGUCACAGGAAGCGUUCAGGGCCAAAGCAUUGAUUAGAUUAGAUUAGAUUAGAUUCCCUACAGUGUGGAAACAGGCCCUUCAGCCCAACAAGUCCACACUGCCCCUUGAAGCAUCCCACCCAGACCCAUCCCCUAUAACCCACACACCCCUGAACACUAUGGGCUAUUUAGCAUGGCCGAUCCACCUAGCCUGCACAUCUUUGGACUGUGGGAGGAAACCGGAGCACCCGGAGGAAGUUAGAUAACAGAUCUUAGAGUUAAAGGGAAUGGGGGACACAGGGGACAGAGUUAAAUGAUCGGCCAUGAUCCUGUUGAAUAGCAGAGCAGGCUUGAGGGGCUGAUCAAGAAUCUGUUUGAAAAUAUACCACAAGGAUUCUACCCACACAGCUGCUGUGGCAAGGAGUUCCAGAGAUACACAACCCUCAGAGAGAAGAAGUUCCUCCUUAUCUCAGUCUUCAUUUGGCGCCCUUUUAUCCUGAGACUAUGAUGCUCUGGUCCUAGUCACUCCCAUGAUAGGGAAGCAUUCUCUCAGCAUUUACUUCAGCGAGUACAGUUGCAACCUAUUUAAACUUAGCUCAUCUGUACCGGGGACCGAGGAGCAAGUUAGACUUACGGGAUCAUAACAAUUAUUUGGACAGCGGGUGCAGUCUCAAUGGGCCGAGAGGCCUCCCCAGGGGAUAGUCUGAGAAGCAGUUUGGAUGAAGAGUCAAUGAACUCAAAAUGUUGAUUCUGCUUUCUCCCCACAGAGACAGGCAGACCUGCUGAGUUUCGCCUACAAUUUCUGUUUCAGUUCAGGAGAGAUGUUAGGAAGCACUUUGAGACAGAAAGAGACUAGAUGUUUGGAACUAUCUUCUACAAGUAGCACUGGAUGCAGGAUUAGUUGGUCAUUUUAGAUCUGAAAUAGGUAUUUUUUUAUUAAGCAAAUGUAUUGAAUGAUAAGGGCCAAAGGCUGGUACUGUGGAGCUAAGCUGCUUGCAUCUAAAAGGACAAAAGCAGCAGAUACAUGGAAACACGAGUCCCUGCAAGUUCCCCCGACCCACUCAUCAUCCUGACUUGGAAAUACACCAGUGAUGCUGAUAACAAGGGGUCAGCUGGCUGAACCUCAUAAAAUAAGAGUUCCCUGAGGUGGUUGUCAAUCUCGUCCAAUCAGGGAGCCCUGACUGACAUAAAAGGAUAAAUGUCAGGGAUAUUGAUCCCCUGGAUGCCUGACGCAGUGAGAGGCUGUGCUAUUGACAACAGUUAUGCAUUUGUAAAUAAAGGGUGAUCAGGAAUGGGAUGCCAGCGUCUGAAGAGUUUUUGACAGUGAGAGUAAUGCAUGAUCCUGAAGAAACUCGCUCACAGCAGUCAUUUUGAAGUAGAGGGUAAACAUUUUCUUACAUCAUGCCUCCGUUUGGAAAACUUGACUUGUUCAACCUUGUCAUUGAGGACUGGGCCCAGUAUGUGGAAAGAAUGCUUUACUUUUUCCAGACAUUGUGGCAAGUAAUUCUCCUGAAAUCCUGUGGGUCUGUAGCUUUUUCUGUCAUUAGGAGCCCAACAUGCACUGACGCACCAGAUACUAAAAACUUUCAAGAAUUAAUGUACAUAGCUAAAAAAUAUUAUGUCCCCAAGCCUCCUGUAAUUCAGAGACACUGUUGCUUA